UCAAACUUGGUCAUUUAGAGGAAGUAAAAGUCGUAACAAGGUUUCCGUAGGUGAACCUGCGGAAGGAUCAUUAAAAAGUGCCCCAGCUUCUGGCUGGCGGACCACACCGCUGCCCUCCCAAGAUCUCGGUUGGUUGAUGCCUAGGUAGCCCCCAAGUCCCUGUCCAGCGGGUCUUACCAGGCUUCUCUCUGCAUUGAACCAGAGGUUGGCAAGAAAUAGGGUCAAGUGUAUACCCACUGUGAAACUUCUACCUUUGCUUCGGCAGCACUCUCUUCCGAGGGGUAAGGCUGCCAGAAGCCCAUAUCAAACUAGUUGAUGAAAUGUCAUGCUGUCUGAUAACCACUAUUUGAGAAAUCAAAUUGAUCUUAAAACUUUCAGCAACGGAUCUCUUGGUUACCGCAUCGAUGAAGAACGCAGC
rnacentral:misc_RNA from 1 species